UCGAUAGAAACUUGCCGAGACUACAAGUUUCGAUUCCUUAUAGAGCAUUUUCGAUACAAUUGUGUCCGUAUCAGUGAAAGUCGAUGCUUUCCUGGAAAUGCGAACGGAUUGAGUUUCAUGUUCUCUUUUCUGCAGCAGAAUAUUUCAGUGGCUUUUUAGAACUUCAUUCUAGUGGCGACAGUUUGCCUUUGCUGUAGUGUAUGGCAAGAACCCAGAACACAUGUUUAUUGCAGAUCUACUGCAGGGCUUGUUCCUCGGGUUUAUUGCAGAUCUACUGCAGGGCUUGUUCCUCGGGUUUAUUGCAGAUCUACUGCAGGGCUUGUUCCUCGGGUUUAUUGCAGAUCUACUGCAGGGCUUGUUCCGCUGCCACUCCUGAUAUACAGUCAGUUCUGUGACUGUUGGAGAGCCAGAGAGACCAAGCUUCAAGAGAGGACAUGAGAUGAUCAUGAUGAUGGUACACAGAACACGGAUUGUCAAGUGCACCGUGCAGUGAAGUCACUCCACAACACGGCUCGCAAGCCGCGCGCAUAACAUCCCGCCGGAUGUCCACCUCCCGCCGGAGGAUCGCCUACAGACACCACCGCCGCAAGCAACGGCUCCGCGACCUAACGCCUCGCCGCCCGCUGUCUAUUGUUCUGUGUGUCUAUCCAGGGUCGCUAGCCCCGCUCGCAUCACAUCCCGCCGAACAUAUAACUCCCGCCGGAGAAUCGCUUACAGACACUGCCGCUGCAAGUUACGGCUCCACCAAACCAAGGCUUCGCCGCCUGCUGUCUGUUGUUCUGUGUGUCUGUCCAGGGUCGCCAGCCCCGCUUGCAGAACAUCCCGCCGGAUGUCCAUCUCCCGCCGGAGGAUCGCUUACCGCCGCAAGCCAGGGCUACGCAAGCCAACGCUUACGUGCCACCCCCAUGCGUCCACCCGCAAGGCUAAGUACCUAUGGAUUUGGCCAAUAGCAGAGGCUCCCACCCCGCGGGGCUGGGGGAGGGGGCUCUCGGGUCGUAUUUGCAUUAGCCCCACAGGAUGAGGGCAAACCUCGGCCAAACCAGUACAGGAACGCCCCGACGGGGUCAGGGGGGAGAUCUCCCACUGGCAAAACCCAUGGGUCCCCUGCUUAAAAUCCGCAGCCACGCCGCCGGGCCACUGUGUUCCGGGAAGCGGGCCGCUGUUCAGCGACCCGGCGCAGCACGCAUACACCGCAGCUUGGCCGCCGUACCAUCCUGCCUGUUUAGGAAACAUGCGCAUGUCCGGGCGUAUGCGUGUGUGCGUUUGUUUUGCAUGCGCUUGUGCCUGUGUCCUCCUAGGCUCGCUAGCCGCCGCUCUCUCAGCGAGAGCAGAGCACCUGAUUGCCAACUCGAUAGCUACUGGCACACAGCGCACGUACGCCCCAGGCUGGCGUCAUUCCUGCAGUUCAUUGGUCGCAUGCGGCGCGACGCACAUCACCCAGAUUAGGACGACGUCCUGCUGUUCGCUGCCGCAAUGUCUCACUCAGUCAGCGCCAGCACUCUGAGAGUCUACCUGACCGCGAUUAAAUACCACCUCCUCCGCAUGGGCGGUGCGGUCGGGGUUACAUCCUCUAGCCGCAUCACAGCCCUGCUCAAGGGCUUAGAGAGGGAGAGAGUGUCGCUUCCCAGGCAGCCGUCAACACGCCCUCAAUACAAACGAUCAUCGUCCACCAGCUGAAGGCUCUCUGCCAGUUCUUGAAUCUGUCCUUGUACUCCCUGGCAGACAGACUAAUACUAUGGGCUGCUCUUACGACAGCCUUCCACGGCUGCUGCUGCGUGUGAGUGAGUACACGUCAUUGUCACCACACGGUCCCGGCAGCCUCAAGACGCUGAGGCGCGAACACCUUCGGUUAGCCCAGCAGGACUCCAGAGGACGAAGACGUCUCAAUUAACAACAGGCGGGGAGGUAGCGCUGCAUCGCUAUGCUGACCCCGCACUAUGUCCCGUCCGAGCCCUGCAGGCUUACGUUCCGUCCAGCAAAUGGAGCAAUGACAAGCAACCCCUAUUCAAGUUUCAGGAUGGUCGCCAUCUCACGCCGAACGACAUCAAUGCUGUCCUACACAAAGUGCUAGGUCCAAGCAUCAGCAGCCAUUCCUUACGCGCCGGGGGAGCCACACACAUGGCGGAUCGAGGCGCACCAGAGUAUGCCCUGAUGGCUGCAGGCCGCUGGUCCAGCAGGGCAUAUCGCACGUACAUUCUCAGGCCCGCAGGCAUGCCACAGCACUACUAGAGCCUGCGUGUCGCAAGCCAUUCGGUACCUUUAUUGGAGGCACGGCUGCUGCCGAUGGGCGCUGCAUAGUGCACGCACAUCGGCACCAUUGAACUAUUCAUGUUUACUAAGAUUUAGUGUUCCGCUGCCAUAGCAACCUAGUAGUACACGUAGCCGUUCUGACGGCGCAGGACCCCGCGGGUCGCUUCUGCUGUCCUUGCCUCUCUGAUGUGUGAUAUGUGUACAUCAUUUAUAAUCAUGACCUCAUACUGAGUACAUGUACGUCAUACUUGAUUACCGAUCAGAGGCUCAUGAUUAUUCAUGUUGGAAUAAACGCUUGCGACACCCCACAGGCUCGUCUCUGUUGUGUGGCAUGAGGGUUAACUGUCACUUGUCACGUGGCACUUGCAACUGAGUACCUAGACCUACAACUAACCUGCAAGUAGUAGUGUACAGUGGUCAUGUACAUGUGAAUUCUGUACUAAGUCUUACAGUUCUAGUCCAUGUCAGCUCACAGCCUCACAGGCACAGCGUCCCAGGGACUUCCCCUAUCUAGCCCUGCUACAUUUGUAUGUGUUUAGUUCCUCCACUGCACACGUACAAUGUCUACACGUCAUGCAGUCUGCCAUCACGUGAUCACUACAAUCAAUCAUGCAGCACCUCCUUAAUCCAUUAUGGAUCACCGGUGCGA